CCAGAUUCUCCCGCGCUAUUAACCAGCCCGCCCCCUUUUGCACAUGCGCGUACAUCAGUACUAGACCCAUGGGUUGUUGAGAGGCUGUGGAGUUGCGCCUGCGCUAUAGACCUCCCUGCCGGAAGUGGGCGGAUCGUGUUCCAAAGCCUAAAGGGCGGAGGGAGAAAGCGCGGCAAAGAGCUGUGUUGCUGAAUGGAACGCUGAAUCCGGACACUGUCUCAGGUGCCCUGCCGCAGAACUACUGAGCCUAGAAAUGUAAAGACCAGAAUAUGGUCAGAGAGAACUUACUUUUCGAUUUUAAAAAGAAGACUUCAGGAGUCAAAGAGAUAUUUGAAUGCCUAUAUGCCCAGUUGGAGAACAAGUAUUCUGGCCAAAAACAAAAACAAAAAAACAGCGUAUGUUCUCAACCACAGAAACGUUCGUCCCUAGUCAGGAAACCAUUAGGAAGAUACAUUAAAUAAGAGCCGGAAAAGAAAGAAAUCUGCAUCAAGGGGAUGAGGCAGAAGGUGACUUUUGGACCACAGUGACCCGGUUAAACAGGGAGAAGCUGGAAAACGCUAAGAACGUCUCAAGCUGAGAGAGAGAUUGAGAGCAUGCAAGCAAGCGAGGAAGGGGCAGAGAAAGAGGGAGAUACAGAACCUGAAGCAGGCCCCAGGCUCCAAGCUGUCAGUGCAGACGACAUGGGGCUCAAACUCAAGAACUGUGAGAUCAUGACCUGAGCUGAUGUCAGAUGCUUAACCAACUGAGCCACCCAGGCGCCCCUGGACAUCUUUCACUCUCUGAAUCUCAGUUUCCUCAUCCAUAAAAUACGCAAUAAAAACAUUUACCUCUCA